rnacentral:rRNA from 1 species
GAUGAACGCUGGCGGCGUGCCUAAUACAUGCAAGUCGAGCGAACAGACGAGGAGCUUGCUCCUCUGACGUUAGCGGCGGACGGGUGAGUAACACGUGGAUAACCUACCUCUAAGACUGGGAUAACUUCGGGAAACCGGAGCUAAUACCGGAUAAUAUAUUGAACCGCAUGGUUCAAUAGUGAAAGACGGUUUUGCUGUCACUUAUAGAUGGAUCCGCGCCGCAUUAGCUAGUUGGUAAGGUAACGGCUUACCAAGGCAACGAUGCGUAGCCGACCUGAGAGAGGGGUCGGCCACACGGGAAGUGAGACACGGACCAGACUCCUACGGGAGGGAGCAGUAGGGAAUCUGACGCAAUGGGCGAAAGCCUUACGGAGCGAGGCCGCGUGAGUGGUGGAGGUCUUGGGUGCGUAAAACUCUGUUAUGGGUGAAGAACAAAUGUGUAAGUAACUAUGCGCGUCUUGACGGUACCUGAUCAGAAAGCAACGGCUAACUACGUG